AUGAUUCAUUUGACAAAAUUAGGGGGCAUUUGUUGGUGGAAGGGAUAUGGGGGGUCUCUUAGACAUACAGACAUGAAUUGCUCAUCUCACCUUAAAAAAGAAAAGGGGCACUAUGUGGGGAAAUGGAGCAACCUAGAACCUGACUCUCUCUGGACCUUUUAUGGACCGGCUUUGCCGCAGGCUGAUGGGUGGAGCUAAACCAUGGAGCUGACGUGACUGGCUUUGUUUAUCACGAAGCCAUAGAGAGCAAAAAAAUGAAAGCCAGUUCUGUAAACCCCAGAGAAUACGGACUUACAGUCUUCCUGUCUGUCUCACUGCUGUUCCCGGUGGAUUCAGGACUAUGCUGCCCCCGGGAAACCCACACACUGCGCUAUGAGCUCACAGUCUGGUUUCCGGAGGACUCUUGGGAGCACCCAUUCCCAAUCCUGAUAUUCGUGGAUGAUGAGCUCUUCCUGAGGUACAAGGGAGACAGCAGGAGAGCAGAGGCUGUGGGGCCCAAGAUCAAGGAACAUGCAGGAGCUAAGAACUGGACAAGAGAGACUGAGGACCUGCAGAAAAAGAAGGAACAGCUCAGGAGAAUGCUGGCUGUGGUCACAAACCAGCAGGGCCAGAAGAAGGGCCUUCACACCCUCCAGGAAACCUUCGGCUGUGAGCUUCAGGGAAACCAGAACAUUGGAGGCUUCUGGCGCCUGGGCUACGAUGGGCUGGACUCCCUGACCUUUGACCAGAAGACUCUCAGAUGGACAAUGGCUGUGCCCUCCACCCAGCAGACCAAGGUGUUCUGGGAGACACACGCACCCAGAGCUGAUGGAGUUAAGGCUUUCUUGGAGGACAUAUGUCCUGCUCAGCUCCAGGGAUAUCUGGCUUCCUUGAAGAACUUUCCACCGGAUACAGGCCUCCCGGAGGUGAAGGUAACCAACAGGACAUACCCAGUGGGCAGGAUCACCCUGACAUGCUGGGCUUUUAAUCUGUGUUCUCAUGUGGCCACCCUGGCCUGGCUUCAGGAUGGAAAGCCAGCACAGCAGCAUACCUUUGGGCCUAGGACCAUCCUGCCCAGUGGGGACGGGACCUACCAGACCUGGGUGUCCAUUUGGGUUCUUCCUGGACAGGAACCACAGUUUACCUGCCACCUGAGGCACCAAACACAUGACAUCAAGAUCCCUGCUGCUCCUGGUCCAGGGCGUGCUACUGAGUACAUUCAUGAUGCUGCCAGUGUCCAAGCUGCCUCAGCUGUUUCUGCACUCUCCAUUGUGUUGGUGGUGGUGCUGGCCAGAGCCAACUGAAGCCAGAACACAAAGAACAGAAAACUAUCCGAGGGACUAACAAUUGGAGGCCCCCGUGAGAUCAAGACUCCCAACCCAUAUUCUGAAGCCAGACCUUCACUCCCAGGACUCCAGGACCCAAAUCCUGCCUUGGAAGGUGCACACCAUGAAGACGUUCCAAGACUCCAUCCAAUGCAUGCUUUCAGUUUGGCAAAUUGUUGUAGUGUAGGAAAAAGGAACCAGGAAGCACCUGUCUGAGGAGUGCCCCACUGGGCCCUCAAUGCCCGGGAGGAGCAGCGAAGUUCCCCCAGUCGGCCUUCACCCAGGCGUGCAGAGCUCUGCAAAGGCGCCUUCCUCUGGCCUGGAUCGCUUUGGUAAGGAGGGGAGGGGCACUGAGGUGAGGCUAGCGCCAGGGGUCCAGCAGGACCGUCACAAACUUGACCACUUUCUGCAUCUUCUCUGUCUUCUCGCGCGCUGGCCACACUAAUUUUGGCUUUCCUUGUGAAUGCAAGCUGGUUUCCAGAACUUCCUAGGGUUAUGAGCUCCCUCCGAGAACAUCGGUAGCUCAAAGUUGCAAAAUCACUCACAUGACUCUGUGCCCCAGGAAUGAAAUGCAGGCCCCACGCCAUACACACCCCAGUUCUUUCCACACCAACAACUCCUCCAGCCUUUUUAAAGUUCCGUGCCUAGGGGUCUCUUCUCCUCCCCGCCCUUCGCUCCCCGCGGGCCCUCCUCUGGACCUCUCUCUUCCUGGAUUCUUGAGCUGAUUAAGUCAAGCAGGAGAGACUGAAAUGUGUCACUUUGGGACACCAGCAUAAAACCCAGGAAAUUUAUACAGCUGGUAGUUCCUAUUAUGAUCGUCGCCGUGGUUAGCAGGAGCGAACGGCUCUGUGUGUAGGAGGGGUUGGGGAUGGAUCACAGCAGAAACCCUUCCGGGUUCAGCGGCGGCUUUUGCAAAAGCUGGCUAGAAAGCCCGGAGAAUGAGGGAAAGCCGCCAUCUGGUGGAGAAAAGAGGGAACUGUGGGAACCCAGCCCAUCAAACGCCCGCCCACCACACCCCUACCUCCCAUGAAAUCCCAAAUAGAAGUCAAAGCUAAUGUGCUCCCCCGAACCCUGAAACUUCCAGACAACCAGAGUAAUUGUGUGAAAUAUAUUUCUUCUUGAAAUAGUUACUGUUUUUUAAUUUACUUCUUGUC